rnacentral:rRNA from 1 species
GAUGAACGCUGGCGGCGUGCCUAAUACAUGCAAGUAGAACGCUGAAGCGUGGUGCUUGCACCGAGCGGAUGAGUUGCGAACGGGUGAGUAACGCGUAGGUAGCCUGCCUCUUAGCGGGGGAUAACUAUGGGAAACGAUAGCUAAUACCGCAUAAAAGUCGAUAUCGCAUGAUACUGAUGUGAAAGGUGCAAAUGCAUCACUAAGAGAAGGACCUGCGUUGGAUUAGGUAGGUUGUGAGGUAACCGCCCACCAAGGCGACGAUACCAAGCCGGCCUGAGAGGGUGGUCCGCCCCCAUGGGAACGGGGACCCGCCCCGGCCUCUUCGGGGGGGCGCCGUAGGGGAACUUCGGCCAUUGGGGCAAACCUGACCGGGCCACGCCGCGUGGGUUGAGGAAGUUUUUCGGUCCUUAAGCUCCGUUGUAUGGGAAGAACGAGUGUGAGAGUGGACAGUUCACACCGUGACGGUAACUUACCAGAAAGGGACGGCUAACUACGUG